rnacentral:pre_miRNA from 1 species
AGGGGAAUAGCUGGGUCAAAUGGUGGUUUCAUUCCUGCUUUUCAAGGAAUCUCCAUACUGCUUUCGAAAUUGACUGCACCAAUUUGCAGUCCCACCAGCAAU